rnacentral:lncRNA from 1 species
UCCAGCUGGUCAAGGUCAAGGUUACAACAACCCCCAAGAGCACAGGAACUUCUCGCAAGGGCAGGGAGGAGGUUUUAGGACUGGUGGCCCUUCAGCACCUGGAUCUUAUGGCCAACCAUCAACACCUGGAUCUUAUGGCCAACCAUCAACACCUGGAUCUUAUGGCCAACCAUCAACACCUGGAAACUAUGGUCAGGCACCUCCAUCAGCGUAUCCCGGCGGUAACAGAGUUCCUGGUGUGAACCCUAGUUAUGAUGGGGACAGCAGAGAGGGGGCAGGACCGGCAUAUGGUGGAGAUAACU